GUGCUCACUUUGGCAGCACAUAUACUAAAAUUGGAAUGAUACAGAGAAGAUUAGCAUGUCCCCUGCUCAAAGAUGACACGCGAAUUCUUGAAGUGUUCCAUAUUUUU
rnacentral:snRNA from 1 species